rnacentral:misc_RNA from 1 species
GAUGAAGAACGCAGCGAAAUGCGAUACUUGGUGUGAAUUGCAGAAUCCCGUGAACCAUCGAGUCUUUGAACGCAAGUUGCGCCCGAAGCCACUAGGCCGAGGGCACGCCUGCCUGGGCGUCACACGCCGUUGCCCCCCCAUCUACUCCUUCGGGAUUGCGGGGGGGCGGAUGAUGGCCUCCCGUGCGCCUAGCCGCGCGGUUGGCAUAAAUACCAAGUCCUCGGCGACGCACGCCACGACAUUCGGUGGUUGCGAAACCUCGGUUGCCCGUCGUGUGCGUUCGUCGCGCAUCGAGGGCUCGAAAAAAUGCUCGGCUCCGGCUGGGCUUUCAACGCGACCCCAGGUCAGGCGGGGUUACCCGCUGAAUUUAAGCAUAUCAAUAAGCGGAGGA